GUCUCUUUGGAGACAUCCAAUAAAAUUGGAACUAUACAGAGAAGAUUAGCAUGGCCCCUGCACAAGGAUGACAGGCACAAAAAAAUCAGCAUUGAUAU